rnacentral:rRNA from 1 species
AUUGAACGCUGGCGGCAGGCCUAACACAUGCAAGUCGAGCGGAGCGGCGGACGGGUGAGUAAUGCCUAGGAAUCUGCCUGGUAGUGGGGGAUAACGUCCGGAAACGGGCGCUAAUACCGCAUACUAUCAGAUGAGCCUAGGUCGGAUUAGCUAGUUGGUGGGGUAAAGGCCUACCAAGGCGACGAUCCGUAACUGGUCUGAGAGGAUGAUCAGUCACACUGGAAAUGAGACACGGUCCCGGUCCCGACGGGAGGAAGACGUGGGGAAUAUUUGAAAAUGGGCGAAAGCCCUAUCCAUCCAUUCCGCGUGUGGGAAGAAGGUAUUUGGAUUUUAAAGCAAUUUAAGUUGGGAGGCGUUACCAACAGAAUAAGCACCGGCUAACUUCGUGCCAGCAGCCGCGGUAAUUC